UACGUAGGGGCGAGCGUUGUCCGGAUUUACUGGGCGUAAAGCGCGUGUAGGCGGCCCGUUAAGUGGGGUGUGAAAGCCCGGGGCUCAACCCCGGGACGCCGCUUCAAACUGGCGGGCUUGAGGACGGAAGAGGGGAGUGGAAUUGCCUGGUGUAGCGGUGAAAUGCGUAGAGAUCAGGAGGAACACCCGUGGCGAAGGCGGCUCCCUGGUCCGUCCCUGACGCUGAGACGCGAAAGCGCGGGGAGCGAACGGG
rnacentral:rRNA from 1 species